UUCAUGAUAGCCCGCAUUAUACAACGAAUCGUGGUGCAAUCAUUGAGCCAUUUCAAAUAAGUAUCUCAAACCAUAUUACGAGCAUUAGGAGCAAGCUUCUCAGAUAUCGGAUCUGUACUAAUAUAUAAGAUCUGCUCGUGCUCCAAGAUAAUUUUUAAUUUUUAAUAUUAGUUAUCAAAAUUAGGUCCCAUUAAUUUUUUUACUAGCCAAC
rnacentral:lncRNA from 1 species